CUAAAAGAGGGUAGACUUAUAUUACAUAUAAGGAAGAAAUUCUGUACUAUAAGGGUGGUGAGGCCCUGGCCCAGGCUGCCCUGAGGAGCUGAGGCUGCCCCAACCCUGGCGGUGCACAAGACCAGGCUGGAUGGGGUUUGGGCAGCCUGGGCUGGGGGAGGUAAUUUGCAGAUUCCUG